rnacentral:rRNA from 1 species
GGCUUAGAGUUUGAUCAUGGCUCAGGAUGAACGCUGGCGGCGUGCCUAACACAUGCAAGUCGAGCGGGGUUGUAUUGGAGCUUGCUUUGAUACAACUUAGCGGCGGACGGGUGAGUAACGCGUGGGUAACCUGCCCUAUACACAGGGAUAACAUUGAGAAAUUAAUGCUAAUACCAGAUAAGCUAACGAUAAGGCAUCUUAUUGAUAGAAAAGCUGAGGCGGUAUAGGAGGGGCCUGCGUCUGAUUAGCUAGUUGGUGGGGUAAAGGCUCACCAAGGCGACGAUCAGUAGCCGACCUGAGAGGGUGAUCGGCCACAGUGGAACUGAGACACGGUCCAAACUCCUACGGGAGGCAGCAGUGGGGAAUAUUGCACAAUGGGGGGAACCCUGAUGCAGCAACGCCGCGUGAAGGAAGAAGUAUUUCGGUAUGUAAACUUCUAUCGACAGGGAAGAAAGAGAUGACGGUACCUGAAUAAGAAGCACCGGCUAAAUACGUGCCAGCAGCCGCGGUAAUACGUAUGGUGCGAGCGUUAUCCGGAUUUACUGGGUGUAAAGGGUGAGUAGGCGGCUAAGCAAGUCAUAUGUGAAAUUCUGGGGCUCAACCUCAGAGCUGCAUAAGAAACUGUUUAACUAGAGUACAGGAGAGGUAAGCGGAAUUCCUAGUGUAGCGGUGAAAUGCGUAGAUAUUAGAGGAACACCGGUGGCGAAGCGGCUUACUGGACUGGAAACUGACGCUGAGUCACGAAAGCGUGGGGAGCGAACAGAUUAGAUACCUGGUAGUCACGCUGUAAACGAUGAGUGCUAGUGUUGGGGAGAGAUUCUCGUGCCGUAGCAACGCAUAAGCACUCCACCUGGGGAGUACGACNNAG